UACGUAGGGUGCAAGCGUUGUCCGGAAUUAUUGGGCGUAAAGAGCUUGUAGGCGGUUUGUCGCGUCUGCUGUGAAAUUUCGGGGCUCAACCCCGAACUUGCAGUGGGUACGGGCAGACUAGAGUGUGGUAGGGGAGACUGGAAUUCCUGGUGUAGCGGUGAAAUGCGCAGAUAUCAGGAGGAACACCGGUGGCGAAGGCGGGUCUCUGGACGAUACCUGACACUGAGGCACGAAAGCCAAGGGAGCAAACAGG
rnacentral:rRNA from 1 species